GACGAACCGAGCGAACGUUGUUCGGAAUCACUGGGCUUAAAGGGCGCGUAGGCGGGUGCUCAAGUCCGUGGUGAAAUCCUCCGGCUCAACCGGAGAACUGCCUCGGAUACUGGGUGCCUCGAGGGUGGUAGGGGUAUGCGGAACUAUCGGUGGAGCGGUGAAAUGCGUUGAUAUCGAUAGGAACUCCGGUGGCGAAGGCGGCAUACUUGACCACCUCUGACGCUGAGGCGCGAAAGCCAGGGGAGCAAACGGG
rnacentral:rRNA from 1 species